rnacentral:rRNA from 1 species
UUAGUUAUUUUCUUGAAAAUUAAAAAAUUUGGCAGUAUUUUAAUCUUUUCAGAGGAACCUGUUCUAUAAUUGAUAAUCCACGAUUAAAUUAACUUAUUUUUAGUUUAUAUAUCGUUGUAGUUGAAUAUUUUAGUAGAAUAAUAAUAUUCAAUAAAUAAGAUUUUAAUUUAAAUCAAAUCAAGAUGUAGCGUAUAAAUAAGGAGAAAUGGGUUACAAUUAAGUUAUUAUUGGAUAUUAAUUUUUAAAAUUAAUUAAAAUUGGAUUUGAAAGUAAUUAUUUAUAUAUAUUUAUAAUGAUUUAGCUCUAAAAUAUGU